UUAAGGUAGCUUUUUAUUGUAUUAAAGUAUUUGUUUAAAUUAAUAAUCUAACCAUUUAUAUAAGAAAAUGACAACGAUAGACAACACUGCAUAUUAUAAUAAUUGUUUACAAAAUUCUACAUUAUUUAUCAAAUGGAUUUCUAGGAAAACUCAUAUUUUGCCUAUACGUAACAUAUCUCAAAACUGGACAUUGAAUAAUCAUUUAAGAAUUAUCUUAUUUUAUCCAAAGUAUUCUUUCAAUUUAAAGCUCCCUGAUCCAUUGACAGGUUCAGAAAUUUUCAUAAGGAGGGCUCAUUGACUGCCUAAGAGGGACACGGUCCUGUCAUGCUUUAUUGAUUCCCUAUAUAAUCAACCAAAUUUUUCCACUCAAAAGGAGGGGGACCUGGGCCCCCUGAAAAACCUUCUAAAUCUGCCUCUGUGAUCAACUUCACACAAUCCUAUAAAAUCUGCACUGAUCGUCAAUGUAUUAUGCAAACAUAAUUGAGGUACUUUUAAAAAAAAAAUCUAUAAUAGUUUUCAAGAUAAUUGGAAAACAUUGUGAAAAAAUGUCUUUAAAGGGCAAUUACUUCAAAAAUGAGUCAACUUAAUAUUUAAAAAAUGCUGCUCCAAAGAUAGAUCUUGUCUUGCCAGAGUUAAUUUAAUUUAAUGAUGAUUUUUUAUUUUUU
rnacentral:lncRNA from 1 species